GACGAACGCUGGCGGCGUGCUUAACACAUGCAAGUCGAACGGAAAGGCCCUGCUUUUGUGGGGUGCUCGAGUGGCGAACGGGUGAGUAACACGUGAGUAACCUGCCCUUGACUUUGGGAUAACUUCAGGAAACUGGGGCUAAUACCGGAUAGGAGCUCCUGCUGCAUGGUGGGGGUUGGAAAGUUUCGGCGGUUGGGGAUGGACUCGCGGCUUAUCAGCUUGUUGGUGGGGUAGUGGCUUACCACGGCUUUGACGGGUAGCCGGCCUGCGAGGGUGACCGGCCAUCAUGCGACUGGAGUACGUCCCAGACUCCUACGCGACGAAGCAGUUGGGACUGUUGCACUGCGUGCGGAAGCCUGUUGCAGCAAAGCCCCGUGCGGGAUUUCGUCCUUCGGGUUGUAAGCCGCUUUCGCCUGUGACGAAUCGUGAGUUACGGUAUUGGGUAAAUAUGCUCCGCCUAACUACGUG
rnacentral:rRNA from 1 species